rnacentral:rRNA from 1 species
AACGAACGCUGGCGGCAGGCCUAACACAUGCAAGUCGAGCGAGGACUUCGGUCCUAGCGGCGGACGGGUGAGUAACGCGUGGGAACGUGCCCUUUGCUUCGGAAUAGCCCUGGGAAACUUGGAGUAAUACCGGAUGAGCCCUUUGGGGGAAAGAUUUAUCGGCGAAGGAUCGGCCCGCGUUGGAUUAGGUAGUUGGUGGGGUAAUGGCCUGCCAAGCCGACGAUCCAUAGCUGGUUUGAGAGGAUGAUCAGCCACACUGGGACUGAGACACGGCCCAGACUCCUACGGGAGGCAGCAGUGGGGAAUCUUAGACAAUGGGGGAAACCCUGAUCUAGCCAUGCCGGGUGAGCGAUGAAGGCCUUAGGGUUGUAAAGCUCUUUCAGCUGGGAAGAUAAUGACGGUACCAGCAGAAGAAGCCCCGGCUAACUCCGUG